CUAAGAAUAUUCCGCAAUGGAGGAAACUCUGACGGAGCGACGCCGCGUGGAUGAUGAAGGUCGGAAGAUUGUAAAAUCCUUUUAUGACUGAGGAAUAAGUACGUUGAGAGAAACGGCGUAUGGUGACUGUGGGUCAUGAAUAAGCAACGGCUAAUUACGUGCCAGCAGCCGCGGUAACACGUAAGUUGCGAGCGUUGUUCGGAAUUAUUGGGCGUAAAGGGCAUGUAGGCGGUAUUGCAAGCCUGGUGUGAAAGGCGGGGGCUCAACCCCUGGACUGCGCUGGGAACUGCAUUACUAGAGUCGCUGAGGGGCAAUCAGAAUUCCAGGUGUAGGGGUGAAAUCUGUAGAUAUUAGGAGGAACACCAGUGGCGAAGGCGGCUUGCUGGACGACAACUGACGCUGAGGCGCGAAAGC
rnacentral:rRNA from 1 species